CCUACGGGUGGCAGCAGUGGGGAAUAUUGGACAAUGGGCGAAAGCCUGAUCCAGCCAUGCCGCGUGUGUGAAGAAGGCUUUCGGGUUGUAAAGCACUUUCAGUGGGGAAGAAAGCCUUGGGGCUAAUACCCUCGAGGAAGGACAUCACCCACAGAAGAAGCACCGGCUAACUCCGUGCCAGCAGCCGCGGUAAUACGGAGGGUGCGAGCGUUAAUCGGAAUUACUGGGCGUAAAGCGCGCGUAGGCGGUCUGAUAAGCCGGUUGUGAAAGCCCCGGGCUCAACCUGGGAACGGCAUCCGGAACUGUCAGGCUAGAGUGCAGGAGAGGAAGGUAGAAUUCCCGGUGUAGCGGUGAAAUGCGUAGAGAUCGGGAGGAAUACCAGUGGCGAAGGCGGCCUUCUGGACUGACACUGACGCUGAGGUGCGAAAGCGUGGGUAGCAAACAGGAUUAGAUACCCCGGUAGUC
rnacentral:rRNA from 1 species